rnacentral:tRNA from 1 species
GGCCUCGUAGCUCAGUGGAUAGAGCAGUGGACUUCGAAUCCAUGUGCGGGAGUUCGAUCCUCCCCGGGGCCGCCG